AUUGAACGCUGGCGGCAGGCCUAACACAUGCAAGUCGAACGGUAACAGGAAGCAGCUUGCUGCUUCGCUGACGAGUGGCGGACGGGUGAGUAAUGUCUGGGAAACUGCCUGAUGGAGGGGGAUAACUACUGGAAACGGUAGCUAAUACCGCAUAACGUCGCAAGACCAAAGAGGGGGACCUUAGGGCCUCUUGCCAUCGGAUGUGCCCAGAUGGGAUUAGCUAGUAGGUGGGGUAACGGCUCACCUAGGCGACGAUCCCUAGCUGGUCUGAGAGGAUGACCAGCCACACUGGAAGUGAGACACGGUCCAGACUCCUACGGGAGGCAGCAGUGGGGAAUAUUGCACAAUGGGCGCAAGCCUGAUGCAGCCAUGCCGCGUGUAUGAAGAAGGCCUUCGGGUUGUAAAGUACUUUCAGCGGGGAGGAAGGGAGUAAAGUUAAUACCUUUGCUCAUUGACGUUACCCGCAGAAGAAGCACCGGCUAACUCCGUG
rnacentral:rRNA from 1 species